rnacentral:tRNA from 1 species
GGCCGGUUAGCUCAGUCAGUUGAGCGUAGCACUAACAACGCUAAGGUCGCGGGUUGGAUUCCCACUCGGUCC